UGAUCCAUCUCCACCGACCCUGAGGCCCUCCUUUGACCUCACCAAAAUCUGCUUUUGCACCCUGCACUAAUCAACCCUGGCACAGAGUCUCUGAUAAAGUGUGUGUGUGUAUGUCUAAGUGUGUGUGUGUGUGUGUGUAAUAAAUGUGUGCCUUUUUUUCCUCAUGGAUGACAGGAUGACAUAUGCUUGAGAAAAAAAAAGGAAA